CACAGGACACUGGACGAUCUCCGAAUAUAGACAGAGACUUUCUUAUGGAGAGUACGAAGCUUUUCACAUUCAGAGCUUCUGUGGAUUGAAUUCCACAUCCAGAAGUCAGGAUGAGAUCCACAUCCAGAAAAGUCAAGAGUCUCUGUCCCUGGCUCCGGAUCAAAUAGUAUCGUCGUAUUGGGGAACAGCCCGAAUAAAUCCUGUCGAUCAGAAGUAUCAGGACCUACGCUUUCCUAAGAGACUGGCAGAUGCGCAGCGCGAAUUAUACGGUGGAUAGUAACGACAGGAUCGCCGCGGGAUAUCCGCAUUACGUUCUGGCCACGUAACCCUCGUUAAGGGGCUUCUUAAUGGGGGACAGAAACGGCCACCCCGUAUUGCUCGCCGAUAGUUUACCAAAGACUAUUAACUAACCAAGCACGACAACCUGCUACCGCAAGCUAAUCCGCUUUUCAAUGCCGGUAAUUAAUUGCCUGUAUCCAGUCUUUAUGAAAGCAAUUUUCAGUAGCUUUUAUAAAUCCGGGAGUCUUCGGGAAUCAACUAACAUGAUGUAACGGUAAUUGGUCAAUCAUGGAGUGCUGUUGAAACAAUGCUGCGCUCUAAUAAUAGAGGACGAUCGGAUAACUAUGCCGCGUCAUCAUCUUCAUCUUCCUCUGUGGUUAUCGCGGUUACAAAGGUGAGGCA